AGUGAACGCUGGCGGUAGGCCUAACACAUGCGAGUCGAACGGCAGCACAGUAAGAGCUUGCUCUUACGGGUGGCGAGUGGCGGACGGGUGAGGAAUACAUCGGAAUCUACUUUUUCGUGGGGGAUAACGUAGGGAAACUUACGCUAAUACCGCAUACGACCUACGGGUGAAAGCAGGGGAUCUUCGGACCUUGCGCGAUUGAAUGAGCCGAUGUCGGAUUAGCUAGUUGGCGGGGUAAAGGCCCACCAAGGCGACGAUCCGUAGCUGGUCUGAGAGGAUGAUCAGCCACACUGGAACUGAGACACGGUCCAGACUCCUACGGGAGGCAGCAGUGGGGAAUAUUGGACAAUGGGCGCAAGCCUGAUCCAGCAAUACCGCGUGGGUGAAGAAGGCCUUCGGGUUGUAAAGCCCUUUUGUUGGGAAAGAAAAGCAGCAGGUUAAUACCCCGCUGUUCUGACGGUACCCAAAGAAUAAGCACCGGCUAACUUCGUG
rnacentral:rRNA from 1 species